rnacentral:rRNA from 1 species
UACAGAGGCCCCGAGCGUUACUGAGAAUCACUGGGUUUAAAGGGUGCGUAGGUGGCGCGUUAAGUCCGUUGUGAAAUCCCUUGGCUCAACCAAGGAAAUGCUUCGGAUACUGGCGUGCUUGAGGCUAGUAGGGGUCACUGGAACUGACGGUGGAGCGGUGAAAUGCGUUGAUAUCGGAAGGAACGCCGGUGGCGAAAGCGGCCUGCUGGACCUCUUCUGACGCUGAGGCGCGAAAGCCAGGGGAGCGAACGGG